UACGAAGGGGGCUAGCGUUGCUCGGAAUCACUGGGCGUAAAGGGUGCGUAGGCGGGUCUUUAAGUCAGGGGUGAAAUCCUGGAGCUCAACUCCAGAACUGCCUUUGAUACUGAGAUCUUGAGUUCCGGGAGAGGUGAGUGGAACUGCGAGUGUAGAGGUGAAAUUCGUAGAUAUUCGCAAGAACACCAGUGGCGAAGGCGGACUCACCUGGCC
rnacentral:rRNA from 1 species